rnacentral:rRNA from 1 species
AAGCUCGUAGUUGAAUUUCGGGAUCAAUGCGUCGGUCGUGCCUUCGGUACGUACUAGCGUCAUUGAUUCCUCCCUUCUGAAGAACCGUGAUGUCAUUAAUUUGGUGUUACGGGGAAUCAGGACUGUUACCUUGAAAAAAUUAGAGUGUUUAAAGCAGGCUAACGCUUGAAUACAUUAGCAUGGAAUAAUGAAAUAGGACGUUUGAUUCUAUUUUGUUGGUUUCUAGGAUCGACGUAAUGAUUAAUAGGGAUAGUUGGG